UCCUGGAACACACAGACACUCAGCGUAUGAAAUGGCUGGACCUGGAACAUCUGCUGAUGUCUCUCCGGGUCCUAGAGAAAGACCCAAGUCCCACUGUCCAGCUGGUGGCAACUGAGCUCAUAAGUGACAUCUGUCCUGGCCGAGCGCUUGGCGAAUGAAGCAGAACGGAGACAAACAGAACAAGGCACUCCAGUGGUGCUGGCCAUGUAUCUCACAAACAAGAUCAUAUGUAAAUAACCCAGCUCU